UUUAUUAUUUUGAUUAAUAACAUAUAAAUGUUUUAAUAAACUUUCAUAAUGAGAAAUCUAUUAAGAAAAAAAGAACAUCAUGUUUCUUGUAUUUUUAUUACCACAGCAGCGUUCAGUACAAUUACAGACAGACCUGAGAUAUCUCAGCUCCAGACCACAGCACUAAGGCAGAUAGUGCAAUAAAGCAAGUCACAGUCACAUACACUUUGGGAGGCAGAGACAGGUAGAUCA